GCUUGCGUGGUGACGCGACGACGACACCUGUUGCUGUGUUGCGGCAAAGCGUGGCCCGUGCUUGCUUGAUCGACGUUCCACGUUCGAAUGAGCUGCGAUGAUCCGCGAGCAUACCACGUUGGGAAACAAACUCAAGGGAAUUUUUAAGGAUACAUCCGACGAGGCUCGUUAUACCCUGCCCAUUGGAUGUCCAUCCUACUAGUAUUACUAAACCCCCAUUUGCUUUGUUUCCAGCCACCAUUGCAGCUCCUCGAUCUGGAUUUGGGCGCCUCUCGUUUCAUCGUUAUGAUUGAAGGAUGGCUAAGUUAUUAAGCAUAUACUCCUAUGGGAGUAUCUAUUGGAUCUACAAUCGCCUACGUCUGCACAUGGUGUAGCCAGUGCUCCAUGCGUACCGACUUAAAUCACCAUAACUAUAUUUUCAACUAGAGAUCCUAAGAUCAAUAGGUAGGGGUACCAUAGUAGGGAUUUUUAGUGCUUACAGGAGUUGAACUAGACUUUGCAAUCAUACCAGGAGAUGUCAGUGCAUCACAAAAGUAGAUAGUGAUUCUCGAAGAAAAGGUGUAGAUAUUGUGACAAUCAUGCUGGCAACACUCAAAUUCAUGUCCCUUCCCCUUCUAUUUCGCAAAUUCCUCGUGUGACACGACAAAGAGAUGUACCCGUACUGUAGUCUUGCUGCAAGAAGGCACCAUUUUUGUCCACUUCCAAUCUCAAAUUGGCAACGGAAGUGUAGAUGUAGCAAAGGUUGCUAUCAAAACACCGUGAAAACAAGCGUGGCCGUAUGAGGCUGCGGAUUGGACAAACUCCACAAGAAAUUUCAUUAAGACAACAGAGUAGUUUCAAGGUAGGUGCAGAAACCAGAACAUGAAUUAACGAAAUAAUCAAGAUAAAAAGCACUCUGAAGGAGAGUGAGGAACUAAGCUUAAAAUUUUCUUUCGUGUAAACAUACCAUUUCCAUAUGCUAACAAGGGGUAAUACUGCUAUGAAAUUCCCAAAAAAAACAGUACAGGAAUGAGCCAGGAAUAUAUACGGAAACAUCUUAGCAAUGUUAUGGGCAAAUGGUUUGCCAACCAGACCAAAACAUAUCUCCCAACAAAAUUAAACACUGCAACACGUCAGAACACUUGCUCAAUCUAGACCAGACAUUAAUACUAUGCAGAAGAUGAUAAAAAAAAAUCAGAGCAAGCAUAACAAAAGAGAGCAGACAUAGAUUUAAAGAACAAAACAGAGGGCCAUAUAGAUACAAAUUUAGCAUCGAACUGAAGUGCCUGGCAUCCUUCAUCAAAGUAAAAAUAAGAACAAGCGCAUCCUUUCCAUCACAAUUGAGACUGAAGAGCAACAAAAUUAUGUGUUUCACAUUGUUCCAGAGGAUAGUCGCAGUGGUUCAUUACUCAGAUUCAAA